rnacentral:rRNA from 1 species
AUGCUUGAUCUGUCCGACAACAACUUCGCCGGACCGAUACCGCACGAGCUCGGAGCUCUAAGCAUGAUCGGGACUCUGCGAUUUUCGUCGAACCGGCUUACCGGACCGAUACCACAGGAGCUUAAAAACUGCAAGAGGCUCUUCCAUUUGGACCUUGGAAGUAACCUUCUGAAUGGAAGCAUACCUGCAGAGGUUGCAACACUUGAUAGCCUGCAAUAUCUUCUGCUCGGUGGAAACAAGCUCGCCGGAACAAUUCCGGACUCCUUCACUGCAACACAGGGCCUCCUAGAGCUGGACCUUGGUGGCAACUCUUUGGAAGGUGUCAUCCCAAGUAGCUUAGGCAACCUUCAGUACAUUUCCCAGAAUCUGAACCUUAGCAACAACAGACUGAGUGGCCAGAUCCCAAGUAGCCUCGGCAACCUUCGGAGCCUGGAGGUGCUCGACUUGUCGGCAAACUCGUUAUCCGGUCCGAUUCCGUCGCAGCUUUCCAGCAUGAUCUCACUCUCUGCAGUGAAUGUUUCUUUCAAUGAGCUUUCUGGCCAGCUCCCUGCUGGCAACUGGGGUAAACUCGCCGACGAGUCUCCCGACGCUUUUCGCGGGAACGCUCAGUUGUGCACACAUCCUGGAAAUGCACCUUGCUCACAAGAUCGGUCUCGGAAAACAGGAAGGAAGAACACACAAGUUAUCGUCGCAUUGUUGCUGUCAACAUUCAUAGUUAUGGUUGCUGUAUUGUGUGCUAUCCACUACAUUGUGAAGAGGUCAAAGCGCCUAUCGGCGAAAAGCGGCUCGGUACGCAACCUGGACUCAACAGAGGAGCUGCCGGAGGAUCUGACCUAUGAAGACAUCCUCCGGGCCACCGACAACCUGAGCGAGAAGUACGUCAUCGGCAAAGGCCGGCACGGCACGGUCUACAAGACGCAGUUUGCGGUCGGGAAGCAGUGGGCGGUCAAGACGGUCGACCUGUCGCGGUGCGGAUUCCCCAUUGAGAUGAAGAUACUCAACACGGUGAGGCACCGGAACAUCGUCAGGAUGGCCGGGUACUGCAUUCGAAGAAGUGUCGGCAUGAUCCUCUACGAGUACAUGCCGGAGGGGACGCUGUUCGAGGUGCUGCAUGAGAGGACGCCCCAGGUGGCUCUGGACUGGACGGCCCGGCAUCUGAUCGCCCUCGGUGCCGCGGAAGGCCUCUCCUAUCUUCACCAUGACUGUGUGCCCAUGAUUGUCCAUAGGGACGUUAAGUCGAGCAAUAUUUUGAUGGAUGCCGAGUUGGUGCCCAAGAUAACAGACUUUGGGAUGGGGAAAAUCGUCGGCGACGAGGAUGCGGAUGCGACGGUGUCGGUCGUCGUUGGCACCCUUGGCUACAUUGCUCCAGAGCAAGGGUACUCGACGAGGCUGACUGAGAAGAGCGACGUGUACAGCUACGGGGUGGUGCUUCUGGAGCUCCUGACCAGGAAGAUGCCCGUUGAUCCUGCGUUCGGGGACGGCGUCGACAUCGUGACCUGGAUGAGGUCCAACCUGACGACGCAGGCGGACCAUGGGAGCAUCAUGAGCUGCCUGGACGAGGAGAUCAUGUACUGGCCUGAGCAUGAGCAGGCGAAGGCGCUGGACUUGUUAGAUUUGGCCGUCUCGUGCACGCAGACGGCUUGCCAGUCCAGGCCGUCGAUGAGGGAGGUGGUCAACAUCUUGAUGAGGAUUGACGAGAGUAUCAUCAUUUCAGAGCAUCAUAAGAAGUGA